rnacentral:rRNA from 1 species
UACGGAGGGUGCGAGCGUUGUCCGGAAUCACUGGGCGUAAAGGGCGCGUAGGUGGCCUGUGGAAGUCUGCGGUGAAAGCCCGGCGCUCAACGCCGGGUCGGCCGUGGAUACUCUCGGGCUUGAGCUUACUAGAGGCAGAUGGAAUUCCGGGUGUAGCGGUGGAAUGCGUAGAGAUCCGGAAGAACACCGGUGGCGAAGGCGGGUCUCUGGGCCGAUACUGACGCUGAGGAGCGAAAGCGUGGGGAGCGAACAGG